CCCUGGCAACCACUGAUCCUGUCACUGUCUCCGUAGUUUUGCCUUUUCCAGAAUAUCACGUAUUUGAAAGCAUACAGCAAGUGGCCUUUUCAAAUUGGCCUCUUUCAGUUAGAGAGAUACAGUCAGUGACCCCCGUGGAUUUUCAUGGCUUGAGAGCUCAUUCUUUUUACUGCUGCACAACGUUCCGUUGUCUGCAUGGAUCACAGUUACUGAUCUAUCACCUACCGAAGGCCAUCUCGGUUGCCUCCAAGUUGUAGUAAUUACUAAUAAAGCUGCUAUACAUAUCCCUGUGCAGUUUUCGUGUGAAUAUAGUCUCUAACUCCUUUGGAUGAAAACCAAAGAGUGAAAUGGCUGCAUCCUAAGGUCUUGGAUCCCUUCUGAGUUAAUCUGUGUGAAGACUGUGAGGUCCGUGUCCGGACUUACGGUGCUGCAUGUGGCUGUCCAGUUGUCCCGACACCUAAGCCUUCCCCCACUGACCUUGAGAUAGCGUGCGCCCCGCCCUGCCAAGCUCUCUGCCUGCACCUGCCCUGACUCUCCACGCGGCCCCUUGAUGUGCGCUGUGCGUCUCCUCUGGGACCCGCGAGGGAUAAACUUCUCUGUCUCACUCGCCUCCUGGUCUUCUGUGAACCACAGCUCACCAUCUGAAACACCAGGAUUCUACUUUAGAAAUGUUAAUUUAACCAAGUCACAACUGGUACAUAAGCAUACCUCACCAUACACCUUGCUGGUAUUAUUAUUUUGAACAAACUGUUAGGCAUUAGAGCAACUGAGAAUAAAAAAAGUCAAAGUUUUUAUUUUA